UACGAAGGGGGCUAGCGUUGCUCGGAAUUACUGGGCGUAAAGGGCGCGUAGGCGGAUGUUUAAGUCAGUGGUGAAAGCCCGGGGCUCAACCUUGGAACUGCCAUUGAUACUGGACAUCUUGAGUGCGGGAGAGGUGAGUGGAACGCCGAGUGUAGAGGUGAAAUUCGUAGAUAUUCGGCAGAACACCAGUGGCGAAGGCGACUCACUGGCCCGUAACUGACGCUGAUGCGCGAAAGCGUGGGGAGCAAACAGG
rnacentral:rRNA from 1 species